CUCACCAACUACACACCCCAUGGAAGACGGGGCAUUACUAGGAAGAAGAGAAGACUGAAUGUGGGUUACCCCAAAUGACAAGUAUCCGCUACAGAUGGUGACCUGUUAAAAGACCACGACUAUUAACCACAACUCCCAGGAGACCCUUACUGCACAGAGCUGAGGAUUAGCUUUUCCACUGAGGUGAUGGAGAACCUGGGGCAAGGAGAGGACUUCUCGUGUUUCCCACCUGAAUUUAAAUUCCCCCAGCCCAUCUAUCUAGGUCCUAUGACUUUAAUGACCAGCCAUAUGCAGAAAAGAAAGAUUGUAGGUUCACAUUGAGAGCCUGUUAUGGAAGAGAAACUGAGGUACUUGAAGAUAAUGGUGACCCAAAGUCAAAG